rnacentral:rRNA from 1 species
UACGGAGGAUCCGAGCGUUAUCCGGAUUUAUUGGGUUUAAAGGGUGCGCAGGCGGAGAGAUAAGUCAGUGGUGAAAAACUGCCGCUCAACGGUAGUCUUGCCAUUGAUACUGUCUUUCUUGAGUAUGGAUGAGGUAGGCGGAAUGUGCAGUGUAGCGGUGAAACGCAUAGAUAUUGCACGGAACACCAAUUGCGAAGGCAGCUUACUGGACCAUUACUGACGCUCAGGCACGAAAGCGUGGGGAGCAAACAGGAUUA